rnacentral:lncRNA from 1 species
GGAAAGGCAUGCCCCUGGGACAAAUUUCCUAGGCUCCGCAACAGGACACAGAGACUUGCUCACUGGUGGCAGAUCACUGGAACUUGAGACAGAAGACAACAGAAUGAGGGCUGCUGCUGUUGGUGUCUCGUCUGUCUUUUUCCUUUGCUGGCUGUAAAAGUUGCCGAGAUCCAACCGUGGAUCCACCACUCCCGAGUGAAGAAAUCCCACACUGAGACCAACACUGAAGGCCAGAAAAGACAAUGCACUCAAAGCUCUGCAACUGUCACUCCGGAGGCUGAUGGGCAAUGCACAGCUGAAGACUGAGGAUCGGCCUACAUGAAGAUAGGGUGACUAAGCAAAAUCCAAAUUCAAAGGCAUCAAUUGAUCGGAGAACAGAAAUGUAACAGAGGAGAGGUAAAAUGAUGAAUGUUACUUUGUUAAAGAAGAAAAAAUUCAAUUCCUCUCCAUCAGGCACUGUUUGACUAGUGACGGCUGGCACCUUCACAAGUGGCACCCGAACAGGGACCUGAGCACAGAGGACAAGGUGAAGGACGCCGCCGGAUUGUGAGCUCAGAUAAGAUGAAGACAGCGCGUGAUGGUUGCCAGAACGGCUCAUGCACCAGGUGGAUGUCUCUUCAACAGAAUCUCUUCCUCCUCAUAAUGAUGGCCACAAUGACCAGAUGUGAGAUGUUCUGGGCUUAUGUCCCUGACCCUCCGCUUCUCCAUCCUGUUAUCUGGGAAGACCCACCA